GGCCCCGUCGUCUAGAGGCCUAGGACAGGAGGCUUUCAAUCUCUCAACACCGGUUCGAAUCCGGUCGGGGUCACCA
rnacentral:tRNA from 1 species